rnacentral:rRNA from 1 species
UACGGGGGGGGCAAGCGUUGUUCGGAAUUACUGGGCGUAAAGGGCUUGUAGGUGGCCAACUAAGUCAGACGUGAAAUCCCUCGGCUUAACCGGGGAACUGCGUCUGAUACUGGAUGGCUCGAGUGUGGGAGAGGGAUGCGGAAUUCCAGGUGUAGCGGUGAAAUGCGUAGAUAUCAGGAGGAACACCGAUGGCGAAGGCAGGUCUCUGGGCAUUAACUGACGCUGAGGAGCGAAAGCAUGGGGAGCGAACAGG